rnacentral:rRNA from 1 species
UACCGGCGCUCCGAGUGGCGACCACGUUUACUGGGCCUAAAGCGUCCGUAGCCGGCUUGGCAAGUCCCCUGGGAAAUCUGGCGGCUUAACCGUCAGGCGUCCAGAGGAUACUGCCAGGCUUGGGACCGGGAGAGGUGAGAGGUACCUCAGGGGUAGGGGUGAAAUCCUGUAAUCCUGAGGGGACCACCGGUGGCGAAGGCGUCUGACUUGAACGGGUCUGACGGUGAGGGACGAAGGCCAGGGGCGCAAACCGG